UAGUUCACAAAGGUUUUUAAACCAAAGGACAUAAGGAUAAGCGUUUCCUUCAACCUUUCAUUUCAAAGAAAAAGAAGAAUUAAAUUUUGUAAUAA